AAUGAACGCUGGCGGCAGGCCUAACACAUGCAAGUCGAACGGAUCCUUCGGGAUUAGUGGCGGACGGGUGGGUAACGCGUGGGAACAUACCCUUUGGUACGGAAUAGCCUCGGGAAACUGGGAGUAAUACCGUAUGUGGUCGAGAGACGAAAGAUUUAUCGCCAAAGGAUUGGCCCGCGUUGGCUUAGGUAGUUGGUGGGGUAAUGGCCUACCAAGCCGACGAUCCAUAGCUGGUUUGAGAGGAUGAUCAGCCACACUGGGACUGAGACACGGCCCAGACUCCUACGGUAGGCAUCAGUGGGGAAUCUUAGACAAUGGGGGGAACCCUGAACUAGCCAUGCCGCGUGAUCGAUGAAGGCCUUAGGGUUGGAAAGAUCUUUCAGGUGGGAAGAUAAUGACUGUACCACCAGAAGAAGCCCCGGCUAACUCCGUGCCAGCAGCCGCCGUAA
rnacentral:rRNA from 1 species